rnacentral:lncRNA from 1 species
UACCAAUCUACCUACCUACAUGCAUGCAUAUAUUUCAUAUAUAUAUACAUAUAUAAAUAUAUAUAAGGGUGUGUAUCUCCUUAAUCUUUUUUUCUUUUCUUUUCUCUCUCUUCUCUUUCAGACUUCAACCCCUCCUGCUAAUGCAUAAAUAUGUCUGUGCAAAGCUCCGCCCGUUUAACCAUGUACGCUGUGUCUAACACGUGUUUAUCAAGGCAGCAAAGCAUUCGCGGUGUUUUCCUCGCACCAUCAUCCGUAGAGCAGCCUUUAACGACGGCCUGAAUCGGUGGAAAUCAGACCAAAUCGGGUUGCCAGCAACGACGGACAAUGCGCCGAAGUCGUUUGAAACGAAACCUCGAUUUUAGCAGUCAAACACAGACGUCGGCUUUUUCGCUCUUCUCCGACAAGUCGAUAUUGCUUGACCAGACGGACAGGGCCGCAUACAUUUACAAGAACCCUUACAACACCAUAGCCAACAACAACAACAACAGCAACAGCUACUACUACUACUACUACUACUACUACUACUACUACUACUACUACUACUACUACUACUACUACUGCUGCAAAAUCCUCCGGUUGUCUGUUGACAUAUUAUUAACACUUGCUAAUUUCAUCUUUCUAACAGCGUUGAAAUUAUAUUGCAACACAAAAAGAAACUUUUUGCAGCCGCAAAUGUGUAUAUAUUUUUCAGUUUGAUGGCGUUAUUUUCUUUUCUGCUAUUUUUCUUUUUCCAAAAAGACAGCAAACAUGUAAAAUAGAAAGAAGACAAGAGCGAGAUAGAGAGAGAGAGAGAGAGAGAGAGAGAUACAUAGAGAGAGAAAGAAAGAAAGAAAGAAAGAGCGAGAGAGAGAGAGAGAAAGGGUAAACAAUAACAGCUGCUACAAAGCAGAAAGCAAACAGCAAAAAAAGAAAAUUAUAUAUAAAAAAAAAAGUAUGGAUAUUUUUAAAUUCAAAAUAUGGACAUUGAAAAUAUGCUUGGUUCAAGGUGCUUGAUUCGACGGUUUUUUUUUGUUUUUGUUUUUGGUUGGUCUUUUCUUCUUUUUUUUUAACCUCCCGGACAACGUGUUUUGUGAAACUUGUUUGUAGCGUCAAUCAAUGAAUGCUAUUAUACCCAAAUCGCUUUUAUUUCCUGGGCGAAUGAAAACAGAUUCGGAUAUAUCUGCAAUGCAAAUGAACAGCUGAAGAGAUAAAAAAGACAACUAAACAUAGCAGACUUACAGACAGACAAACAGACACACACACACACAUAUAUAUAUAUAUAUAUAUAUACACACACAUACACACAAGCACGCAUACACACACAUAUAUAUAUACAUAUAUAUAUGUUUGUUUUUAUGUUUAGUUAUUAUGAAAACGAUAAUCUGAAGGCUUACUCUCUACUUGCGUAGAGUACAAAUUUAUUAUUCUUAAAUAAGAAAGUCCGACGAUGGCUUAGCGGGCCGAAACUUCGAAGUCACUGUCAACAAUAUUCUUGUUUAAGAACAAUACAGAUGCAUGUGUGUGUGUGAAUGUGUUAGAGAGAGAGGGGGAGAGAGAGAGAGGGAGAGUGAGUGAGAGUGUGUGUGUGUGUGUGUGAGAGAGAGAGAGAGAGUGUGUGUGUGUAUGGGCGUGUGUGCAUGUGUGUGUGCAGAAAAAGGAGAGAAAAAAAUUGUGCAUAUACACAUGCAUUUAACUGGAGAUUCAGAAACGAGCUUUGUGAAGCCUGCAACAUCAUCAUCAUCGAGUUUAAUUUUAUUUUAUUCUAAAAUAUAAUUCUGCAGAACGACACGUAUUUAACGCACAUAAAAAAAUACACGGAUAUGUUGAGAAGCACGCACAGAGAGGUACAUUUUUAGUAGAUAUAUAUAAAUAUAUAUAUAUAUAUAAAGAGAGACAGAGACAGAGAGAGAGUGAUGAAGAUACAUAUGCACACACAUCAUUCGUAUACUGACGAAUUCUCAUCACAGAGGCGCAGAUACGAAUGCACAGGGCCAAAGAUAGACACAUUCGUUUGUAUACGACUGCAAGAUUUUUUUUUUUUUUACGAGACCAAUAGCUGUCAUCUGUAAUUUCGGAUUUUGCUACAACGCAAACGACUUAUAAACGAAUCAUUAUAUAAACCAACGAAGCGAAAAACAAUACCAGCAGCUAGAUAGAGCAACGGCAGCAGCUGCAGCAGCAGCAUUAGUUGUAGCAGUACUAGCAUUAGUAAUAGUAGAAGCAACAGCAGCAGCAGCAGCAGUAGUAGUAGUAGUAGUAGUAAUAGUAGAAAUAGUGGAAAUAGUAGCGGUAGUAGUGGUGGCAGCAGCAAUAACAACAAUUACACAAAGCACAAUCUCAUCUGCUCAGAAUCAACGGCAUUUUAACGAUGUCAACAAUAUUUGUAACAGCUCUGUGUAACAACAACAAUAACAACAACAACAACAACAACAACAACAACAACUACAACAACAACAGCAAAAGCAAUUCUGCAGAACAAACGGCUCGAAAAUGGAAUGAAGAAAUCGUGUGUCAAGAAAUAAUGUGUUGAUAAUGUUUGUUAUUCUGGCUCAUUUCAACAAACGUUUACCUAAAGGAAAACCAAACGGAAGAAUGAGAUCGUAAAAAAAAAAAACAAUUUAAAAAAAAAAGAACAAGAAAAAAGAAAAAAAGGUAAAAAGAAAAAGAAAAAAAAGAAAGAAAGCAAGCAAGCAACAACAGCAACAACACAAACAAAAUGAAAACAAAAAUAUCCUCGCACAUAUAAUAAUGUCUGAAGUGUUCCUUUUACAAUUUUUGCCUUGAUAAUAUAUUUUCUUCUUAUCGUCUGCCUUUUUUUUUUCCUUCAUCAAAUUCAUAGUUACUAGAUUUAAGAGUGAAGUUAUUUCUCUUCAUCACCUCUACUCUCUCCUCCUCCUCCUCUUCCUCUUCCUCCGCUUCACUACUACUACUACUACUACUACUACUACUACUACUACUUGUUGUUGUUGCUGCUGCUGCUGCUGCGCGAUGGUGUCUUCUGGAUUUUAAUGUAAAGCAUAUAUACACGUACGCACGCACGCACGCAUACAUACACACACACACAAACGACGGUUCUCACACACAGGCGAGAGAGAGAGAGAGAGAGAGCAUUCACACAUUUUCCACACAAAAGCCUGCCGUGUAUAACACAUACAAUCACUGUUGGAUUUAAAACGAGAACCGAGAACUGAUAUUUUUGCUAGACACAAGCGUUGGCUCUCGAUGGACCAGCCGACACCCAGGACUAAAAAUAAGAAUGACAAAACACAAAGGUUAUCGUUGUUGCUUUGCCCUUUAUUUUAUAUCUUCAAAUCCGCACAUUCGAUGAUUUCAUCCUUUAUUCAGACACAUUGAUUACAGAACAAAAUAACCCCACGUUUCACAGUUAGGGGUGAAUGGCUUUCAAAUAGAUUUACUAUCACAUACGUUUGCUAGUUUACAUUCUCCAUUCUAUUCUUACACGCUUUUUUUUCUGCAUUUCUCCUUUACUCCAUUUCUUCCUUCCUCGCUUUCAGUGAAUCAGUCAAUCGAUAUAUAUUUACCUAUCAAUCAAUCAAUCAGUCAAUCAAUCUAUCUCGCUUUCCUUUUCUCUUUUUUUUCUCUUUCUUUCUUUCUUUCUUUCUUUCUUUCUUUCUUUCUUUCUUUCUACAUUGUGUCCUUCCUCUCCGCUGACUCUCCCAUUCACACGCGGUUUUCUACUCACAAUUGCGUGUGUGUGCAUCACACAUUUGUAAUCGUCACAUGUGUUGUAGCUAAUAUAUGUAGAAUUCUUACGUAUGUACAGCAUUUUUGUGAGAACGCAUGGAUGCAUGUCUUCGUGUCGGUGCACAAGUCUGUCUCAUAAGACGAUCUCGCGGGCGGAUCGAAACCGAACCCAAUGCAUCGCCAGACCGUGGCACACAGCAACGGUAAGACGGUAGCAGCAGUUUGUCCCACAGACAAAUGUGUCGUUUGCGGCAUGGACAGCACAGAACGACCCCACAGCGGACACGAAACCUGUGCUCGUAUGCCACCGCAUCCACCACCAUCAUCAUCACCACAACCGCCAUUGACGGCGGCGGCGGCGGCGGCGGCGGUCACGAUGACGACGACGACGACGACGACAACGGCGGCGCCGACGGUAGCGGUGACCGCAGCGGCGGCGGCGGUGACGAUGGCGAUCACGUCCCUGAGCAAAGAUGCCGCCGGCGGCACGGUCGUUGCCGCGAUGUCUCCGCCGCCCGGCAAGUACCAUCACCAUCAUCAUCCUCACCACCACCAUCACCACCAUCAUCACCACCAUCACCAUCACAACCCCAACAAACUGCAAGUGCAAGCACACCAGCAACAACAACAACAACAACAACAGCUAACGACUCAGCCAUCACCCACUUCUCAACAACAACAACAACAACAGCAACAACAACAACAACAACAGCAACAACAACAAUUACAACAACUACAACAGCAACAACAGCAACAACAAAUGCAGUUACGUUCGCAGCCUUCGGCUCAAUUGGCUGUGCAAAGUCCCAAACCACAAGAUCAGCAACCACAGAAUGAGCCGAGCGAGCAAUAUCAACAACAACAACAACAACAACAACCAUACCAUCACCAUCACCACCACCCAUAUCAUCAACAACAACAGCAACAGCAACAACAACAACAACAUGCUCAAAAACCGGUGCAACAGCAUGAUCAACAAAAACAACAACAGCAGCAAACACAACAGCAACCACAACCACAACAGCAACAGCAAACGGUCGCCCGUAAAGACGAGGCAAAGACGCCGGAAAGCCAAGCCGGGAUUAUCUGUACCGACGGCAGCGGAAGCGGGGGGACGACGGACUCGAGCGGAGGCUGUGGGACCAACGGCGGAAACGGUGGCAGCAACGGGACCGGAACUGGAGGUGUUAGUAUCGGUAUCAUCGGAGGAGGAGGAGGCGGAGGAGGAGGAAUUGGGAUCGGCGGCGGCGGCGGCGGUUCGGUGGGCGACGGGAGCAGGUCGUGCGCCGGAGAUCCCCGCCAAGUGACAAGAUUUGAUUUCGGAGAUUUCUAUCCCGAUGGCGGAUGGGGUUGGGUGGUUGUGGCCGCCGUCACAGUCGUCAACAUCUUAUGCUAUGGUUUUCAUUUGGCAUACGGAAUGUUAUUCAUGGAAGCCAAGAAGAAAUUUGGAAACAGCCAAGAGUUAGGUAAGUU